UGGGGAAUCUUGCACAAUGGGCGAAAGCCUGAUGCAGCAACGCCGCGUGCGGGAAGACAGCCCUAGGGUUGUAAACCGCUUUCAGCAGGGAAGAAACUGACGGUACCUGCAGAAGAAGAUGCGGCCAACUACGUGCCAGCAGCCGCGGUGACACGUAGGCAUCAAGCGUUAUCCGGAUUUAUUGGGCGUAAAGAGCUCGUAGGCGGUUCGGUAAGUCGGGUGUGAAAACUCUGGGCUCAACCCAGAGAGGCCACUCGAUACUGCUGUGACUAGAGUGCGGUAGGGGAGCGGGGAAUUCCUGGUGUAGCGGUGAAAUGCGCAGAUAUCAGGAGGAACACCAGUGGCGAAGGCGCCGCUCUGGGCCGUAACUGACGCUGAGGAGCGAAAGCAUGGGUAGCAAACAGGAUUAGAUACCCUGGUAGUCCACGCCGUAAACGAUGCGCGCUAGACGUUGGCGGUUCAGCCGUCGGUGUCGCAGCUAACGCGUUAAGCGCGCCGCCUGGGAGUACGGUCGC
rnacentral:rRNA from 1 species